AACUAACAAGGAUUCCCCUAGUAAUGGCGAAUGAAAAGGGAAAAGCCCAAAUUUGUAAUCUGGCUCUUUCAGAGUCCGAAUUGUAAUUUUAAGAACUGUUUUCAGUGCUGGACCAUAUAUAAGUCUGUUGAAAAGCAGCAUCAUAGAAGGUGAUAAUCCUGUUAAUGAUAUGGACUACCAGUGCAAUAUGAUACAGUCUCUAAGAGUCGAGUUGUUUGGGAAUGCAGCUCAAAGAGGGUGGUAAAUUCCAUCUAAGGCUAAAUAUUGAUGAGAGACCGAUAGCAAACAAGUACCGUGAGGGAAAGAUGAAAAGAACUUUGGAAAGAGAGUUAACAGUACGUGAAAUUGUUAAAAGGGAAACAAUUGAAGUUAGACUUGUUAUUGUUAGUUCAACCUUUUUUUUAAAGGGAGUAUUCUGAUGAUUAACAGACCAACAUCAACUUUUGAGUGUUGGAGAAGGGUUUAAGGAAAUGUAGCAGUCUCUGAUUGUGUUAUAGUCCUGAGCUUUGAUACAAUGCUUAAGGUUGAGGAUUGCAGUAAGCCUCUUUUUUUUUUUGAGGUGGAACAAAUUAAUGUUCUUCUUAACUGAGGAUGGUGGUGCUAUGGCUUUAAAUG
rnacentral:rRNA from 1 species